GUCGAACGAUGACCCCGUGCUUGCACGGGUGAUUAGUGGCGAACGGGUGAGUAACACGUGAGUAACCUGCCCCUGACUCUGGGAUAAGCCCGGGAAACUGGGUCUAAUACUGGAUAUGACCUUUAACCGCAUGGUUUUUGGUGGAAAGAUUUAUCGGUUGGGGAUGGACUCGCGGCCUAUCAGCUUGUUGGUGAGGUAAUGGCUCACCAAGGCGACGACGGGUAGCCGGCCUGAGAGGGUGACCGGCCACACUGGGACUGAGACACGGCCCAGACUCCUACGGGAGGCAGCAGUGGGGAAUAUUGCACAAUGGGCGAAAGCCUGAUGCAGCGACGCCGCGUGAGGGAUGACGGCCUUCGGGUUGUAAACCUCUUUCAGUAGGGAAGAAGCGAAAGUGACGGUACCUGCAGAAGAAGCGCCGGCUAACUACGUGCCAGCAGCCGCGGUAAUACGUAGGGCGCAAGCGUUAUCCGGAUUUAUUGGGCGUAAAGAGCUCGUAGGCGGUUUGUCGCGUCUGCCGUGAAAGUCCGAGGCUCAACCUCGGAUCUGCGGUGGGUACGGGCAGACUAGAGUGAUGUAGGGGAGACUGGAAUUCCUGGUGUAGCGGUGAAAUGCGCAGAUAUCAGGAGGAACACCGAUGGCGAAGGCAGGUCUCUGGGCAUCUACUGACGCUGAGGAGCGAAAGCAUGGGGAGCGAACAGGAUUAGAUACCCUGGUAGUCCAUGCCGUAAACGUUGGGCACUAGGUGUGGGGAACAUUCCACGUUUUCCGCGCCGUAGCUAACGCAUUAAGUGCCCCGCCUGGGGAGUACGGCCGCAAGGCUAAAAUCAUGU
rnacentral:rRNA from 1 species